rnacentral:rRNA from 1 species
CCUACGGGUGGCAGCAGUGAGGAAUAUUGGUCAAUGGGCGGAAGCCUGAACCAGCCAAGUAGCGUGCAGGAUGACGGCCCUACGGGUUGUAAACUGCUUUUAUACGGGAAUAACGCGCCUUACGUGUAGGGCUUUGCAUGUACCGUAUGAAUAAGGACCGGCUAAUUCCGGGCCAGCAGCCGCGGUAAUACGGAAGGUCCGGGCGUUAUCCGGAUGUAUUGGGUUUAAAGGGAGCGUAGGCCGCAUGUCAAGCGUGCUGUGAAAUGUCCGGGCUCAACCCGGGCCUUGCAGCGCGAACUGGCGUGCUUGAGUCCGCGGAAAGCAGGCGGAAUUCGUCGUGUAGCGGUGAAAUGCUUAGAUAUGACGAAGAACCCCGAUUGCGAAGGCAGCUUGCCGGCGCUCAACUGACGCUGAGGCACGAAAGUGCGGGUAUCGAACAGGAUUAGAUACCCCAGUAGUC